rnacentral:rRNA from 1 species
GGCGGUGAAGUCACACCGGAAGGACUGGUGGAGCGCUUAGAAGUGAGAAUGCCGGUAUGAGUAGCGAAAGAAGGGUGAGAAUCCCUUCCACCGAAUAUCUAAGGUUUCCUGAGGAAGGCUCGUCCGCCCAGGGUUAGUCGGGACCUAAGCCGAGGCCGAUAGGCGUAGGCGAUGGACAACAGGUAGAGAUUCCUGUACCAGUGCUAAUUGUUUAACCGAUGGGGUGCCACCGCACGCUCCGGCACCCCACGCACGGACAUGU